GAUAAACGCUAGCGGCAGGCCUAACACAUGCACGUCGAGGGGCAGCGUAAUGCUUAGCUUACUAAAUAUAGCUGGCUACCGGUGAAUGGGUGCGUAACGCGUAUGCAAGCUGUCCUGAACAGGGGGAUAAUCGGGAGAAAUCAGGUCUAAUACCCCAUAAAACAUUAAAUGGCGUCAUUAAUUGUUAAAAGCUACGGCGGGUACGUAUGGGCAUGCGUUGUAUUACUUAGUUGGCAAGGUAACGGCUAAUCAAGACUAUGAUACAUAGGGGUAUUGACAGAUUUGCCCCGCCCACUGGUACUGAGACCCGGAGCAGAAUCCUACGGGAGGCAGCAGGGAGGAAGAUUGGUCAAUGGACUGAAGUCUGAACCAGCCAUGCCGCGUGCCGGAAGACGGCUCUAUGAGUUGUAAACUGCUUUUUUACUAGGGUAAACUCAGGUACGUGUACAUGACUGAAAGUAUAGUAGGAAUAAGGAUCGGCUAACUCCGUGCCAGCCGCCGCGGUAACAC
rnacentral:rRNA from 1 species